CCCGCUGAACUUAAGCAUAUCAAUAAGCGGAGGAAAAGAAACCAACAGGGAUUGCCCCAGUAACGGCGAGUGAAGCGGCAACAGCUCAAAUUUGAAAUCUGGCCCCCAGGGCCCGAGUUGUAAUUUGCAGAAGAUGCUUUUGGCGCGGUGCCUUCCGAGUUCCCUGGAACGGGACGCCAUAGAGGGUGAGAGCCCCGUCUGGUCGGACACCAAGCCAGUGUAAAGCUCCUUCGACGAGUCGAGUAGUUUGGGAAUGCUGCUCUAAAUGGGAGGUAUAUGUCUUCUAAAGCUAAAUACCGGCCAGAGACCGAUAGCGCACAAGUAGAGUGAUCGAAAGAUGAAAAGCACUUUGAAAAGAGGGUUAAACAGUACGUGAAAUUGUUGAAAGGGAAGCGUUUAUGACCAGACUUGGGCCCGGUGAAUCAUCCAGCGUUCUCGCUGGUGCACUUCGCCGGGCCCAGGCCAGCAUCAGUUCGCCGCGGGGGACAAAAGCUUCGGGAACGUGGCUCCCUCGGGAGUGUUAUAGCCCGUUGCAUAAUACCCUGUGGCGGACUGAGGUUCGCGCUCCGCAAGGAUGCUGGCGUAAUGGUCAUCAGCGACCCGUCUUGAAACACGG
rnacentral:rRNA from 1 species